GACGAACGCUGGCGGCGUGCCUAAUACAUGCAAGUAGAACGCACAGUUUAUACCGUAGCUUGCUACACCAUAGACUGUGAGUUGCGAACGGGUGAGUAACGCGUAGGUAACCUGCCUGGUAGCGGGGGAUAACUAUUGGAAACGAUAGCUAAUACCGCAUAAUAUUAAUUAUUGCAUGAUAAUUAAUUGAAAGGUGCAAUUGCACCACUACCAGAUGGACCUGCGUUGUAUUAGCUAGUAGGCGAGGUAACGGCUCACCUAGGCGACGAUACAUAGCCGACCUGAGAGGGUGAUCGGCCACACUGGGACUGAGACACGGCCCAGACUCCUACGGGAGGCAGCAGUAGGGAAUCUUCGGCAAUGGACGAAAGUCUGACCGAGCAACGCCGCGGGAGUGAAGAAGGUUUUCGGAUCGUAAAGCUCUGUUGUAAGAGAAGAACGGGUGUGAGAGUGGAAAGUUCACACUGUGACGGUAUCUUACCAGAAAGGGACGGCUAACUACGUG
rnacentral:rRNA from 1 species